ACUGGGCUUGGUAGCGCUUGCCUGUAACCCAAGUGGGGGUGUUAAAGUGGGUCGGACUGUGUGUUGGUUUGGUUUGGUUCGGUUUGGCUUGAUUGUGCUAAAUCCGGCUUGCCCGUUCCAAGUUGAGAGUUGGUCCAUGUGACUUGAGCGAAGGCUCGGGCUACUUGGUCCCUAGACUAAGGGGCACUGCGUUAGGCUGGCUUCACAGAGCUGCGAGAACCCUUGGCUCUUGACAGUGGAAGGAUAACAGGCUUGGGGCUCAUCAGGUCAAUGUAGCCGACUUAUCCAACUCAAAUGAACACCCACUUUU
rnacentral:SRP_RNA from 2 species